AUAUUGUGGCAAAAUCACACGGGUUUAUUCUCCCUCCCUUUUUUUUAAUCCUCCUCCACACAACCCCCCUUCCCCCAAUAAUUUCAAUAUGUUCUUUUUUAUUAAUCAAAAGGAAAAGAAAAUACGAGAAGCACGUCCUAAAAUUACCCCAAAUUCUCAAAAUAGCAGAAACCUUGAGUUGUCUUCUCCAAAAUCAAAUCUCGGCGCGAAGAUCUGUGAAUUUUUAUAAAAUAUUGCAGCAUCUACCUGAAGAGGUGUUCCAUUAAAGAUAUUGGCCCAUCCUAAUGAUGCCAUUGGAAAAGUGUAUGGAGUUGAACACUCUGGUUGUGUGCGUGGUAUAGGUGGUAAUUUUUGUCCUUCAACUGUUUUUGGGAUGUCUAGACAUUCAAUUAGUCAUGUAAAUGUCGGUACUUCCAAUAAUAUGCCUCAUCUACUUGUUGAAGACCUAGAGAAACAUGUAUAAACUUUGGAAGAGAAGCUUACCGAAUAUGAAGAGACCAAAGAAAAGCUUGAGGAAACUAAGAAACGACUUGCGCAAAAUGAGAAUCAAUUGGCAACUCUUCAUAGGUUUUUACAAGCCAAAUUUGGUAGUGAAUUGCCUACUUUCAACAUAAAUUCUCUUUAGUUUAUGAUGUAGCUUAAACUUUUUGCAUUUUGAUUACAUUAGCAAUACUUUUGCUAUCUUUUAUGAUGAAACUUGGCUUUUGUUCUAAUAUAUGACGAAUACUUUCCUUUUGUUUUAAUAUAA